rnacentral:rRNA from 1 species
UACAGAGGUCUCGAGCGUUGUUCGGAUUCAUUGGGCGUAAAGGGUGCGUAGGUGGCGUGGUAAGUCUGGUGUGAAAUCCCGGGGCUCAACCCCGGAACUGCACUGGAUACUGCCAUGCUUGAGUACUGGAGAGGAGAUUGGAAUUUACGGUGUAGCAGUGAAAUGCGUAGAUAUCGUAAGGAGGACCAGUGGCGAAGGCGAAUCUCUGGACAGUUACUGACACUGAUGCACGAAAGCUAGGGGAGCAAACAGG